rnacentral:rRNA from 1 species
UACGAAGGGUGCAAACGUUGCUCGGAAUUAUUGGGCGUAAAGCGCACGUAGGCGGCUUUGCAAGUCGGAUGUGAAAUCCCUCGGCUUAACCAAGGAAGUGCAUCCGAAACUGCAGAGCUUGAGUACUUAAGAGGAUCGCGGAACUCCUAGUGUAGAGGUGGAAUUCGUAGAUAUUAGGAAGAACACCAGCGGCGAAGGCGGCACUCUGGGCCGGUACUGACGCUGAGGCGCGAAAGCGUGGGGAGCAAACAGG